GGGGCUGACUGGAAUCGACAGGAAAGAUUUUCGGUUAGUAAGCAUGUCGGAGCAAAAUUACUUACUCUGUUAACAAAUAGUAAUUAACCACUUAUAAAUGGCAAUCAACGAUUCGCCAUGGCUGCCUAAUUCAAUGAAUUAGAAGCCUUUGUGCCGUGCGCUUGACGCCUAAUACACAGCGUGCCGCAUAUCAACCCGCUCGAAAGAGCACUUAGGCUAGUUGCGUAGGAUACCUUGACUACAAUGCGAAAUUCAGAGGAUAAGGUGAUGGCGCGGGUUGGUUUCUUCCUUGUCAUUGCUCGAAAAUUGAAUAGAAAAUAAGCAUGUAGAAAGCUCUCAGUUACUUUGUCUGGACCCGGGUUCAACUCCCGGCAGCUCCACUA
rnacentral:tmRNA from 1 species